rnacentral:rRNA from 1 species
AUUGAACGCUGGCGGCUGGCCUAACACAUGCAAGUCGAACGAGUGGCGGACGGGUGAGUAAUGUCUGGGAAACUGCCCGAUGGAGGGGGCUAACUCCUGGAAACGGUAGCUAAUACCGCAUACCAUCGGAUGUGCCCAGAUGGGAUUAGCUAGUAGCUGGGGUAACGGCUCACCUAGGCGACGAUCCCUAGCUGGUCUGAGAGGAUGACAAGCCACACUGGAACGGAGACACGGUCCAGACUCCUACGGGAGGCAGCAGUGGGGAAUAUUGCACAAUGGGCGAAAGCCUGAUGCAGCCAUGCCGCGUGUAUGAAGAAGGCCUUCGGGUUGUAAAGUACUUUCAGCGAGGAGGCGUUACUCGCAGAGGAAGCAGCGGCUAACUCCGUGCCAGCAGCCGCGGUAAUUC